GUGAAACUCUGAACCUGAAGUUCAUGGCUGAGGUGGGGACCAACCGGGGGCUGCUCCCAGAGCACUUCCUCUUCCUGGCCCAGAAGAUCUUCAAUGACAACAGCCUCAGCAUGGAGGCCUUCCAGCACCGUUCUGUGUCCUGGUCGCAGUUCAACAAGGAGAUCCUGCUGGGCCGUGGCUUCACCUUUUGGCAGUGGUUUGAUGGUGUCCUGGACCUCACCAAACGCUGUCUCCGGAGCUACUGGUCUGACCGGCUGAUCAUUGGCUUCAUCAGCAAACAGUAUGUUACUAGCCUUCUUCUCAAUGAGCCCGACGGAACCUUUCUCCUCCGCUUCAGCGACUCAGAGAUUGGGGGCAUCACCAUUGCCCAUGUCAUCCGGGGCCAGGACGGCUCUCCACAGAUAGAGAACAUCCAGCCAUUCUCUGCCAAAGACCUGUCCAUUCGCUCACUGGGGGACCGAAUCCGGGAUCUUGCUCAGCUCAAAAACCUCUAUCCCAAGAAGCCCAAGGAUGAGGCUUUCCGGAGCCACUACAAGCGUGAGCUGGAACUGGCAACUCUGAUUCCUUCCUGUCACCCACUUCCUCCCUGCUCCCCGCUGCCCUCCUCUCCCUGCCCGCGUGUGUCAUCCUGAUGUUACUCCCUAUUACAUAGCUGCGCUUCUCUUACUUCCCCAUCAUCCAUGCCCACCUUUUCCACCUCCCUGCCUCCCUAGCCCCAGAGCACUCCAUGGCUCUCUUUUCCUUCUCACAACAGCUGAACAGAUGGGUAAGGAUGGCAGGGGUUAUGUCCCAGCUACCAUCAAGAUGACCGUGGAAAGGUGAGUGUGGUGGUGUGGACAGUGGGUAGGUCAGGGGCCUAGUGCUUACCUGCAGGAAGGAGGGGUGGCAUCAACCCUUGGUCAGUCACAUGUACCUCCUUCCCUCCUCCAGGGACCAACCACUUCCUACCCCAGAGCUCCAGAUGCCUACCAUGGUGCCUUCUUAUGACCUUGGAAUGGCCCCUGAUUCCUCCAUGAGCAUGCAGCUUGGCCCAGAUAUGGUGCCCCAGGUGUACCCACCACACUCUCACUCCAUCCCCCCGUAUCAAGGCCUCUCCCCAGAAGAAUCAGUCAACGUGUUGUCAGCCUUCCAGGAGCCUCACCUGCAGAUGCCCCCCAGCCUGGGCCAGAUGAGCCUGCCCUUUGACCAGCCUCACCCCCAGGGCCUGCUGCCGUGCCAGCCUCAGGAGCAUGCUGUGUCCAGCCCUGACCCCCUGCUCUGCUCAGAUGUGACCAUGGUGGAAGACAGCUGCCUGAGCCAGCCAGUGACAGCGUUUCCUCAGGGCACUUGGAUUGGUGAAGACAUAUUCCCUCCUCUGCUGCCUCCCACUGAACAGGACCUCACUAAGCUUCUCCUGGAGGGGCAAGGGGAGUCAGGGGGAGGGUCCUUGGGGGCCCAGCCCCUCCUGCAGCCCUCCCACUAUGGGCAAUCUGGGAUCUCAAUGUCCCACAUGGACCUAAGGGCCAACCCCAGUUGGUGAUCCCAGCUGGAGGGAGAACCCAGAGAGACAGCUCUUCUACUACCCCCACAGACCUGCUCUGGACACUUGCUCAUGCCCUGCCAAGCAGCAGAUGGGGAGGGUGCCCUCCUAUCCCCACCUACUCCUGGGUCAGGAGGAAAAGACUACCAGGAGAAUGCACAGUGGGUGGAGCCAAUCCACUCCUUCCUUCCUAUCAUUCCCCUGCCCACCUCCUUCCAGCACUGACUGGAAGGGAAGUUCAGGCUCUGAGACACGCCCCAACAUGCCUGCACCUGCAGCGCGCACACGCACGCACACACACAAACAGAGCUCUCUGAGGGUGAUGGGGCUGAGCAGGAGGGGGGCUGGGUAAGAGCACAGGUUAGGGCAUGGAAGGUUUCUCUGCCCAUUCUGACCCAGGGCCUAGGACGGAUAGGCAGGAACAGACAGACACAUUUACACUAGAGGCCAGGGAUAGAGGAUAUUGGGUCUCAGCCCUGGGGGAAUGGGAAGCAGCUCAAGGGACCCUGGGUGGGAGCACAGGAGGGGUCUGGACAUGUGGUUACUAAUACAAGUUUUGCCCUGAUUAAAAAAUCUCCCAAAGCCCCAAAUUCCUGUUAGCCAGGUGGAGGCUUCUGAUACGUGUAUGAGACUAUGCAAAAGUACAAGGGCUGAGUUUCUUUGUGUAU
rnacentral:sRNA from 1 species